UACAGAGGGUGCAAGCGUUAUUCGGAAUUACUGGGCGUAAAGCGCGCGUAGGUGGUUUGUUAAGUUGGAUGUGAAAUCCCCGGGCUCAACCUGGGAACUGCAUUCAAAACUGACAAGCUAGAGUAUGGUAGAGGGUGGUGGAAUUUCCUGUGUAGCGGUGAAAUGCGUAGAUAUAGGAAGGAACACCAGUGGCGAAGGCGACCACCUGGACUGAUACUGACACUGAGGUGCGAAAGCGUGGGGAGCAAACAGG
rnacentral:rRNA from 1 species